rnacentral:rRNA from 1 species
CUUCGUGCUCUUGGCGUCGUGGACCCACCCGAUCCCAUUCCGAACUCGGAAGUUAAGCACGACAGCGCCGAUGGUAGUUGGGGGGCAGCCCCCUGCAAGAGUAGGUCAGUGCGAGGA